rnacentral:tRNA from 1 species
GCAGCAUUGGUGUAAAGGAAGCACAUCUGCCUUCCAAGCAGACGGUGCCGGUUCGAGUCCGGUAUGCUGCUCCA